rnacentral:rRNA from 1 species
CGGCUUAACUGUGAGCGUGCGGGCGAUACGGGCAGACUUGAGUACUGCAGGGGAGACUGGAAUUCCUGGUGUAGCGGUGGAAUGCGCAGAUAUCAGGAGGAACACCGGUGGCGAAGGCGGGUCUCUGGGCAGUAACUGACGCUGAGGAGCGAAAGCGUGGGGAGCGAACAGGAUUAGAUACCCUGGAUAGUCCACGCCGUAAACGGUGGGUACUUAGGUGUGGGUUUCCUUCCUUGGGAUCCGUGCCGUAGCUAACGCAUUAAGUACCCCGCCUGGGGAGUACGGCCGCAAGGCUAAAACUCAAAGAAAUUGACGGGGGCCCGCACAAGCGGCGGAGCAUGUGGAUUAAUUCGAUGCAACGCGAAGAACCUUACCUGGGUUUGACAUGCACAGGACGCCGGCAGAGAUGUCGGUUCCCUUGUGGCCUGUGUGCAGGUGGUGCAUGGCUGUCGUCAGCUCGUGUCGUGAGAUGUUGGGUUAAGUCCCGCAACGAGCGCAACCCUUGUCUCAUGUUGCCAGCGGGUAAUGCCGGGGACUCGUGAGAGACUGCCGGGGUCAACUCGGAGGAAGGUGGGGAUGACGUCAAGUCAUCAUGCCCCUUAUGUCCAGGGCUUCACACAUGCUACAAUGGCCGGUACAAAGGGCUGCGAUGCCGCGAGGUUAAGCGAAUCCUUUUAAAGCCGGUCUCAGUUCGGAUCGGGGUCUGCAACUCGACCCCGUGAAGUCGGAGUCGCUAGUAAUCGCAGAUCAGC